CACGGUAUGUCUACUUGAACAGAGACCGCCCUGACCCAAACCUAGGUAGCGGCGGCAACAGCAUCUUCUCCAAAUCUUGACCACCACUUGAAGCAACUGGCAAAGCUAGAGGCGGUCUAUAUGAUGUGGUGGUUGUGGAGAUCGAUGAUGAUGAUGAUAAUAAGGUUUGAAUUGUUGUUGAUAGUGGUGGAAAACUUCUGAUGAUGAUCGAUGAUGGUGAUCAUUAACUUCAUUUUGGUGGAAUUUACGGUGACAGUUACAGGCGACGUAUUUCAACGCAUCGAGUGUAUCUUCUUCUCCGGCAGCCAGGCUUGCUAAUGAGAGAGACAUUGUGACAGAAGAGGAGGUGGUAAAGGUGCUGGGGGAGGUGUUUCUGCACCCAAAUUAUACCAUUCCUUUGAUGGGAUGUUUUCGCCCGAUAGCCAGAAAGAUAGUUGACAAAGCUGUGGGCUUGCUUUGGCAUCUGGGCAAGUCCAAUGCGAAUGACAUGUCAGUGGAGGUCGAAGAAGAGGAAGAUUUGAAUGAAGUUGUUUCGGUAAUUGAGCACUACAAUCAAGCUGGGAGGGGUCUUGAUCUUCACGAGCUUGCUUGCUUGGCCUUCUGUUGCGCCCUUGACUUGGCUCCUUUUUUAUUGGGGUCUAUAUUAAAAUAUUUCGAAUUUACUCCCCCUCCUUUUGAGCGCAUUUCAAAGGAAGGAAAAAAUCCUUGGCUGUGUGGUAAGUUUGGAACUCGUAGAUUAUGUGCUGCUCGGACAUCUUACUGCCUCCUCCUCAUGGAUUCAGAAAUCUUUUCUAAACUUAGGAACUGGAACUGGUCCUGUUUCUUGGAUCUUGUAAAGCAGACCUCCAAUCCUGACCUGAGCAGCAGUGCUGCAGAUAUUACUGUAAUUGCAGACAUUAAAUGGUGUGGGAUACAGAUACUAUGAGUCAUUCUGAAAAUAAGCCACAUACCAACUCCACACUUUAGUACUGGGGCCACCGAAGCAUUCUCAUGUUUUUUGCGCUGGAAGGAGUUCUGUCAAGAUACAUCACUGGAGAAGGCUGGUUUGUAUAUUAAUUCAUCUGAACAAAAUGAGUUCAGUUCUCCUAGUAGAAGCAUUGAUUUCAACCAAGAGAACUGUCUUCACUCUUCUGGCCUUUGUUCUCUGGCCAUUUCCUCUUCACAGGUUGAUGAGAUUGAACCGCCAACUCGGACUAAAAGGCUUGCUACAGGGGAGGAUAUAUCAGUUGGAAAUAUGUUCUUUUUGACAUCUGCUGUGAAGAAAAGUUUUGAGAUGGUUAUGUUGGCAGUAAGUCAAAAGUGGCCUGUUCGUCUAUAUGGUCCUGCUGGCGCUGGGAAAUCUGCUCUUAUUCACAAGUUGGCCCAGGAUAGUAGGAACCAAGUUCUGUCUAUCCACAUGGAUGAUCAAAUUGAUGGUAAAACCUUAAUGGGAAGUUAUGUUUGUACAGAGCAACCCGGUGAAUUUAGAUGGCAGCCCGGGUGACUUACCCAGGCUGUUCAGAAUGGAUUUUGGGUUGUAUUUGAGGAUGUUGACAAAGCACCAUCUGAUGUGCAAUCCAUCAUACUACCUUUGCUGGAAGGUGCAAAAUCAUUUUCAAAUGGGCAUGGGGAGGAAAUAAUGGUGGCAGAAAGUUUUUGACUAUUUUCCACAAUUUCAACUUCUAGAUUUGAUAUAUCACACAGUUCAGAAGGUGGAAAACUUGGUGUUUUUUGGAGGAAAAGUGAUGAUUGUGCCUCCAAGUAAGGAAGACUUGCAAAAUAUAAUAAAAGCCUGGUAUCCAAAUUUAGAGCCAAUUUCUGAGAAACUCAUAGGUGACAAUUAUUUGAAACCGUACGUGAUAUCGAAGCCGGAGGUGACGAUAACGGAUCGGACGGCUGAGGAUGAGUGUCUAAUCCUGGCGAGCGAUGGGCUUUGGGAUGUGGUGUCAAACGACACCGCUUGCAAUGUGGCAUGCAAUUGCUUGCGAGCACAAAACCCGCCCUCGCCGCCCAUGUCGCCAGGAAGCAACGCGGCGGUCGGCGUCGCGUCGGAGAGCUCCGACAAGGCUUGCUCCGGCGCGUCAAAUCUGUUAACCAAGUUGGCCUUGGCUAGGCAUAGUACAGACAAUGUUAGUUGGUCACCCCCACCUCCCUUGGUUUUCAAAGUGAACUUUGAUGGUGCAGUCUUCAAUGGUUCAAGCAAGGCAUGUGUUGGUAUGGUUAUCCGUUUGAGGAGGAAAAGGUUAGUAAAGCAAUGUUCAUCCCUUCUUUUUAUUUUGCCAUUAUUGCUUGCUCAAUCUCCCUCAUUGAUUAGUUCUUAUAUUCCUUUAUCUUGCUCUAGGAAAAGAAAAUAGUAAAGCUUUUGGGUUUUAUGUGGAUUCCUUAAAAAUUACUACUCUAUGGCUUACUUUUUCUUGAUG